rnacentral:misc_RNA from 1 species
AAAAAGCGCACCAAAGAUUAAUUAAAACGUUAUUAUCACAAAUAAAACAAAAAGCAGUGCAUGUCUCUAUGCGCUAAUAGUUGUAAACAAUGACGCGAGACGAUAAAAGUUACGACUCUAGCGACAACAGCGAGGAAGAAGAAGAAGAGCGUCGCGCCAAGCACAAAAAAUCGAAAAGGCACAAAAAACACAAAAAGUCAACGUCAUCGAGCAAAAGUGACAAUAAGGUGCACAAGAAGCACAAAAAGUCAAAGAAGCGCUCGCAUCGCCCCAGCGAAUCCUCAAAUGCAUCCGAUAAACAACAAAUGCGCAACUCCUCCUCAACCACCACUGGAGGCGGCGGUGGCCUCAGCAGUAAAUUCACAGAGAUUAUGCAGGCGAGCCGUGAACGCAGCGCAAUUCGGGCACCGAAUGGAGCCGAUUUUCGCAUAAUUAAGCCAAAUAUUCAAACGGAUCCGUGCAGCCUUGUCGAGGAGAUCACAAAAACCAUACAGAAUAAAGUGCUGCCAGUGUUGGAGGUCGCCUCCUCGGGCAGUGAGAGUGAAGUCCCCAUUGAUAUUGAUAGUCCAGUGUUGCCGCCAAAACUGGAUGAUGAGCUCAAUCUGGAGGAGCUGAUGAGACAAAAGGCGCUGCUGCAGGCGCGUCUGGGCGCCUACAUGUCCGACACCGAAGGCGACGAGAGUCGUUCCAAUUCGGUGCAGCUGGUGGUGGUCAAGCGUCAGCGUGAUGACAACGACAAGAACGACGAACAAGAUCUACGCCACUCGCAACAGCAACAGGCGCCACAGCAGCAGCCGCAGCAGCGGGAGCAGCCUCAUCAGCAACCAACAGCAAAGUCAGCAGCUGUCGAGACGCUGGCGAAGCGUAGGCCAAACCCCUCCUCGCAGUCUGCAGGGCCAGCAACGGCGGCAACUGCAACUAGUAAACAUGUUAAUAAUACAAAACCAACUAACAUCCAUAACUCAAACGAUACCGAUGUUAUAUUAUUGGAUGAUUCUAGCGGUAGCCAACGCACACCAUCGCCCACACCGGAGAAGCGACGACGUCAUGCCAGUCCACAGCCAAGAAACUCAUCGGGUGCUGGAGCAGCUGGAGUGGGACGUCAACAUGCUCGAGACUCACGUGAUCGACGCUCGCGUGAACGUGCACCACGUGAUCAACGCAGUCGCACGCCACGCCGACGCCAGGAGCAGCAACAGCAGCAGCCUCAGCAUCGUCGCUAUCAGGAGAACAAUCGGAAUAUGGAAGAUCUGCGACAAGAGAUCAAUCGGGACAAACAGCGCGAAAGACGCGAACAUAGUCGCGAUCGUGAUCAACGUCCCCGACAGCAGCAACAGCAGCAGCCGACGGAGCGUGGCGGCGCUGGUCGAAUGCGAGAGCGGGAGCGGGAGAGAGACCGUGAUCGAGAUCGUGAUCGUGAUUCACGCUGGAAUAAUCGCCCACGUUCGCACAGUCGCAGCAAGUUUGAGUCCGAUAGGCGACGCGAACGCGAACGCCAGCAGCUCAAUCUGGAUCGUGGUGGUGGCGCACGUGGUGCACGCGGCUCUGGCAACGGCGUGGCGGAACGGGAUCGCUACAAGGGCUCCCUGAGCGAGGGUCAGAAAAUGCAUGACAAGGAGAGCAGCGAUGAGGAGGUUAAUCUCCUCGAUAUUGACAUCAACGAGGACGACGACGAUGAGGAGCGCAUCAUUGAGCAGCGCCGCAAGCGGCGCGAGGAGCUACUAAAGAAAUUUGGCACCACUGAGUCGCGUACGGCGAGCCCAACGCCACGCAAAUCCAACUCGUACGAGUCCACGAGUACUUCACCCGGCUCAUCUAGGCCUGAACGCGGGCGCAGCAUCUCACCCAAUCCGAGCGGGGAUGUCAAGGAGCAGCAGGAGGAGCAGGUGCAGCAGGAGCAGAAGGAUGAACAUGAUAAGAGCGAGCCACUCGAUGCCAACUCCUCGUCCAAGAAUAGCGCCACAAAGGAGAAGCGCAACGAGUGGGACAUGUUCGCCGAUCAGGAUGUCGAUUCCAAUUUCGAUUCACCCAGCACAAUUGUGCACAGCAAGCAUCAGAAUGAGAAUCCGGCGCUGACCGACAACUGGGAUGAUGCCGAAGGCUAUUAUCGGGUGCGCAUUGGCGAGGUGCUCGACAAUCGCUAUCUUGUCAGCGGCUACACCGGCCAGGGCGUCUUCAGUAAUGUGGUGCGUGGUCGCGAUCAGGCGCGUGGUUCCGCCAACGUUGCCAUCAAAAUUAUACGCAACAAUGAGAUCAUGCACAAAACUGGUCUGCGCGAAUUGGAAAUCCUAAAGAAGCUCAACGAUGCUGAUCCCGAUGAUCGUUUCCAUUGCCUGCGUUUGUAUCGUCACUUUUUUCACAAGCAGCAUUUGUGCAUGGUAUUUGAGCCGUUGGCAAUGAAUCUACGCGAGGUGCUCAAGAAAUAUGGCAAGAAUGUGGGUCUGCACAUUAAGGCGGUGCGCAGCUAUACACAGCAGUUGUUUCUCGCCCUCAAGCUGCUCAAGAAGACGGGCAUUUUGCAUGCGGACAUCAAACCCGACAAUAUUCUGGUCAAUGAGAAUAAUUUAAUAUUGAAGUUGUGCGAUUUUGGCUCCGCUUCAGGCAUCAGUGAGAAUGAAAUAACGCCGUAUUUAGUUUCGCGUUUCUAUCGUGCACCAGAGAUUAUAAUGGGCAUACCCUAUGAUUAUGGCAUCGAUACUUGGUCUGCUGGCUGCACCAUUUACGAGCUGUAUACGGGCAAGAUUCUGUUCAGUGGCAAGAGCAACAAUCAAAUGCUCAAAUUCUUUAUGGAUGUCAAGGGCAAGAUACCCAAUCGUAUUGUGCGCAAGGGUCAGUUUAAAGAUCAGCACUUUGAUCAGAGCUGCAGCUUUCUCUAUCACGAGAUUGACAAGCUAACGGAGAGGGAGAAGAUCGUUGUGAUGCCGGUUGUGAAGCCGUCUCGCAAUUUGCAACAGGAGCUCAUCGCCGAUCAGAAUUUGCCCGAUGAUCAGUUGCGCAAGGUGACACAGCUGAAGGAUCUGUUGGAGAAUAUGUUCGCUUUGGAUCCGGGCAAGCGUAUAUCUCUCAAUCAGGCACUAAUGCAUCCAUUCAUACAGGAGAAAAUGUAGUACACUGAGCGAAAGACACUGCGAAGAGACAACUACAGAGAAAAUAAACUGGGCCCCACUGCUGAUAGAAAUUUAACGUCUAAAGAGGAUGCUUCCUUCAGCACAACUGCAACUGGUGGAAAUGUUGGGAAAAAGUCGAGUGCGCAUCUUGAAACUGACACAAUGCCACACGUCGGGGCAUUGAAACUGGAGCGCGCCGAUCCAAACUGAAAUCCAGAAACAGGUAAUGUAAAAUGAAUAUAGGCUGAAGAUUUUCCUUUAGUUAAACUGCCUGUUUAAAUUGCCUAAACGCAAAAGAUAAACUAGAAGAUCAAAUAAGAUUACAAAGUUCUUACAGGAGAGAAAAAGAAGCAGAAAUUUAGUGGUC